CCUGCGGAUCACCAAUCGCCAGGCGCAGAAUCAGCGAGUGCCCGCCUCUUGCCAUGCCAAUCACAGGCUGACACAGCCGUGCACCAAUCACAGAUCGGGAAUACUCGACCGCAACGACGAUCCCCACUCCUCCCUCUAAGUCAAUCCCUCCGCCGAACUACCGGAUCCCGGGGAAUCGUUUCUUCUUCAUCCCCAACCAAUCAGGACUCGUUACUCAGAUGUCCACUACCCUCUGAAAGACGGGUUUGAAUCACUUUUGUACCCAGGAGACAGCAAGACAACGGUACUUUCAGAAGGGAAAACAGAAGCAAUGAACUUUCCUGUGCAAGUUGAGAUGAAAGAACCGGGACCUCUACCGAGGCCUCAACACUGCCUUCCGAAAGCACACAGAACCAACUGCACACACGCUGCCUCCCCCAGCCCGCACCUCCAUUGCUAACCGUUAAACCGAUACCUGGCU